rnacentral:misc_RNA from 1 species
UGCGAGUAUACAGAAUAAAAGUUAGAAAACAGGUACGAGAUACGUUAAAAGUUAUUCGAGUGUCGAAAGAUGCCGUUUUAAGAAUAAAAAGCGAGAGAAAGAAAGGACGGAACGGAAGCAAUCGCGUUAAAAAAUUAAAGAUCAAUUUUACAACUAUCGAAGGAAAAAGAAGGUGACACGUGGCUGGUCGGUGGAGGAAUAAAAUCGCGAGAAGCCAAACCGGAAGCCGUAGGUUGACGGCUCUAUGUCUUCGUCGGCCGCGACAUCUUGUCCUCGCAGACCACGUUCCUGUAAAAAGUCCACGAGAUAGAACGAAGCGGAUGGCUGUCUGCCGG